UUUUUAUUUUUAUUUUUCAAUUUUAACCAUCUGAUACUUGUCCACCAAUUGGCUAGUUUGGUAAUCAAUUCAAGGUAAUUUUUGGAUUAUGAUGCAUCUAAGUUGGUGCUGACAGAUUAAUUUGAGUUACUUGUAAGCCACAUAUAUCAACCAUCACAUCUUGCCAAAGUUGUUAUGCCUGAAAGCUACAUCUGCAGAAAUACUUUACAGUGAGAUUGAGGAAAGUGAACUCUCUGAUGCAAGCUCAACAAAUUUGAAAGAAGAUGGAUCUUCACUGUCCCUAACUCUGAUCAGAAAGCAGAUAGAUAUGUUAUACCAACUCAUAAAUUCACCAGUUAAAUGGUUAGUCUUGUAAAAUAUAUGGAAUGGUUUUUUGAAGAUCUGUUUUCCCUUCCACUUCUUUAUUUCUUUCAUCGGUAUGGCAUUUUGGAGUUAAUCUAUGUGCAUAUGGAAAAUCAGGGAUGGUAUUCAAAUAAACUUUCAUAUCUAAAAGAAAAAGUGCCUUCCGCGAUAGGAAUUCCAACAUCAGUUGCCCUGCCCUCUGGAGUUUUUGAGAAGGUUUUGUUAGAUGAUUCAAACCAGAAAUGACAUAGGUGAUUAUCAAGCAAAUGCUAAAUGUGUAUGCCUAGAUGAGGGCUUCACUUGGUGAAGAAAAGGAUAGAUUUGGUUUAUGGGGGAGGGAGUGUGGGAUUGAUGGGUUUGAUCUCCCAAGCUGUUUAUGAUGGAGGCUGCCAUGUUCUUGGUUCUCUGUCAGAGUUUGGUUUCCUUGGAUUCGAGUUGGGUUAUUCAAUGGAAAAUCCAAAUCAUUGGUUGUGUGGGAAGCAGUUGAUGCAUGUCUUGUUGUCAUCUGAUAGGGAAGAAGACAAUUGAACUUGAAAUAUGCAUUGGACAGAAUGGUAACACUGCAAAUAUAAAAGAUACCAAGCGUAGUAUGUCAUCAGGUUUAGAGAUGAAGCUUGAUGAGCUGCGGAAAGAGCUCUUUUCAAGUCAUGAAGGAAUAUUGCCACAUACCAUUCUUUCCACCCAACAGAUCAGCAUGUUAAGCGCCGAAAAACCAACUUCCAUGGAGCAGCUAAGGACUAGCCUGGUUCUGACUAUCAUAGGAGUAGUUUUCAAAGGGCUAAUGGUGGGUGAUCCACUCUUCUCGUUGCAUACAAGUGGGGCAAUCCAGAGUUCAAAUCACUUCAGCCUUUUGACGCCACUCGUGCUAGGAGUAGACCAUAUAGAGGAUUUGUUUUUAUUUAUAUUCAAGACCAUUUAUUGUAAUAAAUUUUGUUUAAUAUUCGGU